rnacentral:rRNA from 1 species
CCUACGGGGGGCUGCAGUGGGGAAUUUUGGACAAUGGGGGCAACCCUGAUCCAGCCAUUCCGCGUGAGUGAAGAAGGCCUUCGGGUUGUAAAGCUCUUUUGUCCGGAGCGAAACGGGCGGCCCUAAUACGGUCGUCUACUGACGGUACCGGAAGAAUAAGCACCGGCUAACUACGUGCCAGCAGCCGCGGUAAUACGUAGGGUGCGUGCGUUGAUCGGAAUUUCUGGGGGUAAUGCUUGCGGCGGGAGGUGAGAUCCCCGAGCUCAACCUGGGAAUGGCAUUUGGGACUGCAAGGCUGGAGUGUGGCAGAGGGGACUAGAAUUCCUGGUGUAGCAGUGAAAUGCGUAGAUAUCAGGAGGAAUACCGAUGGCGAAGGCAGGUCCCUGGGUUAACACUGACGCUCAUGCACGAAAGCGUGGGGAGCAAACAGGAUUAGAUACCCCAGUAGUC